UUUUAUUGCUUAAGUUUUGUUUCCUACUAGCUGUGUGUGCUACCUCCCUCUUCUGUACUUUGGCUACUGCAUAUGUGAAAUGCAUACUGUGCAGUGCCUAGGUCAUAGCACCACAGGGAAAAUAAAUGUCUUAGCAGAGGAUAAAGCACCUGUGGCAGUACCUGUGACAGAAUUAGCACUGAAAAACGUUCAUCCUGCUGAUUCUUUGUAGCCAGGGGAACAAUUCCACAGGAGUUGACAUACCAGGUGAUAUCCACAGCUGUCAGAAGAGUUCCGGAAAUGAUACCCAAGCCUACUUGAAGCAUUAACUGUCUCAACAAGAUGCCUUUGCCUGACUGUUACCCAGAGGAGACAGCUUAUUUCAGGGAUGAAUGAAGCAGCCUGGGCUCCCGCACACGCCGUCUGAAAGCAGGAGGUGGAUUUGUCUGCCCUGGCAGUAUUGAAGACCUGCGGUCGCUCAAGACCCAGCUGAGUAUCUGUGUUUCUCUGUAUUGGUAUGUCUCCUGUUAUUGUGACCGAAUGCUUGCCAAGAAGUGACUUCCAGGGGGGAAGAUUUGUUUUGUGUUACCCUUUGAAGGGGCGUGUGGGCAGUACGUGUCAGGAGUGCGAGGCCGCUCGCCCAUCACACUACCUCUGCCAUCAGGGAGCAGCGAGACCUGCUGCCCAGCGGGCUUGCUCCUUCUGACCUUCAUGCUCAGUCGAGGACCCUGGCUCACCGAUGCUGCUUCCCACAGCCGGGGAAGUCUCAGACGAGCCUUUCUGGAAACAACCCAGCGGGACACACCCAGAGCCGUCUGUGUGUUUCGGAAUCCUGCCAUACCGUGUUCAAAUUUGAUUUUUUAUUUCUGAGGUGUUCUGACAACAAGAAAAACUUGGCUAAGGGCUCCUGUUCAGAUGCUUAAGACCCUGAAAUCCACUCCCAGGAAACGGAACGCGAAAGCUAUUAGCUGAGAAUGGCCUCUGCUACACUGAUUACAUACACACGCGUGUACACUUGUUUCUUUUCUGUAUCAUGCAGUAAAUUCUGAUAUAAACUCGGACGACUUUUUAACACAACCCAAGCAAGUAACCUUAGCCCUGGUCUGGUCUGGCUUCUUCCUUCAUUGCCCACAUGUUGUUGACCUUUUACCAGGGGCACAAAGGCUGCCCUGUGGGCUCACUGCAUCUUUGUUACAGCCUCUUUCUUACUCUUUAUCGCACAAGCCUAGCAUUUGUGACUGGCUGGCUUUCAUCCAUCUAGAAGGUAUUUAUGUACAGAAGCAAAUUCAAACCCUGUAAAACACUGGCCUUUACCAUUUAUGAUUAUGAAUGCUUUUGUAUUUUCUGUCUAGAAAACAAAGAGUUUUCUCUUUAUUCUUUCCCCAGUGGUCCAUGACGAUGGUGAUAGAGAACACAGAGAAGAGUUAAUGAGGCCGAUGUUAACAGCGACCACACUGUGCAGGACAAAUCUCAUACCAAGCCAAGAAGAGGGCUUUGAUAUCAUUUAAUAUACAAGGAAAUUGAAGCCAAGACAAUUUAAGUCACUCAGCGUCACAUUGCUAACACAAUUUGGAGCUGGAAGUGAAACCCCGGUCCAACUGCCCACACAGCCCCAGCUCCAACUGCAGAGUUAAUAAAAAAUAAACACUCAAGAAUGCGAUUUGAAAUAAGGA